rnacentral:rRNA from 1 species
GAUGAACGCUAGCGGCAGGCCUAAUACAUGCAAGUCGAACGGUAAGGCCCUUUCGGGGGUACACGAGUGGCGGACGGGUGCGUAACGCGUAUGCAACAUGCCUUCCAGCGGGGGAUAUACCAGGGAAACUUGGCGCAAUACCCCAUAGAAUUACGGGACCGCAUGGUCUUGUGAUUAAAACUCCGGUGCUGGGAGAUUGGCAUGCGUGACAUUAGCUAGUUGGCGGGGUAACGGCCCACCAAGGCGACGAUGUCUAGCUGGUCUGAGAGGAUGAUCAGCCACACUGGGACUGAGACACGGCCCAGACUCCUACGGGA